AGGAGCUUCAACGAAUCCAACAGACCUCACUCGUAAAAAUAUAAAAAAUGUGCUACACUUAAGUAUUUCUAUACUUGUCAAAAAAAUACUUCUCUUGAAAAAUUUUUAAUAAGACUUCCCUGACUAUUAAACACUCCCCUCAAUAAAAAUAUAAUAGUUUGGGACAACAUUUUCUUUCUGUGAAUAAUGAGAUAUACAUACAAUCACAUAAUUCUUUCUUUGUGCAUGAUAGGACGCUUAGUUUUUUGCAAACCGAGAGGGGAAAUGCAGAAGCAAAUGAAAGUGAACGCCUUUGGAAGGGCAGGCGUUGGAAAAUGGUAUUGUUAAGUUGCAGGAAGACCGCAAAAAAGCAUACAUGAGCACAAUGUAUUAGAUACGGCCAAACUAACAGACAUGCUGUCGAAAAAAAGGCAUUUCAUGAAAGAUUUAACAUUCAAAUGUGCACUGAGCAGAAAGGCAGAGUCCAGAGUCCUACGAGUGAGUGUGCAGGCUUCAAAUAAAACUACUUAAGUACAUGUGAAUGAACAGCGUUAAGGAUGCAAGACGAUGAUGUGCACUUUGCUUAUGUUUAUUUCUCAUGUAAACUAUAAACGUACAAGGAAAAUGAAUGUGACAGAGUUAUCAUCAGAAUUGUGGAGCGCAUCCUGCUGCCUGGAAACUUAUGAAUAUUUAUUCUACAAACUCACUCGCCCUCACUGCAUUAAGAAAUUGCCGAGUGACCACUCGGGGUGUUUUUUUUUAUAUGCAAAUAUAAAACGAAGAGUCCAACAUCGCGUUUAUACUUUUGCUUUUUUUCUCAGCCUUUUGUGUUGCAGAUUCUUAAUCAGGACGAACUUAUCCGGUAUGCACAAGCAUCAACAGCAAGGCUAUCAAAUAAACGAAUCGCUGGACACGGCCAAGGAGCAGGGCCGACGGGAAGCCAGCAGCAGGAUAAGUGAACAGACACUAUCCGCUAUCUGCUUGUCCUUGCAGUCGGCUCCACCUGAAAUCCUGGAAAACGAAAUCCGAAAUCUGCCAGCAAGAACGUAAUUUAAACAGCACGUUUUGCAUGUCGCUGGCCAGUGCUACUCAGCCCGCCGUAAAGGUCCAACAAAAAGCCCAAUCCUCAAGUCCGGCUCAGCUUGUUGGUCCCACUUCAUCCCCUUAAAUUUAAGUGCACUGAGAAAAACGGUAAACUAUUUGUGUGCUCUCAAGAUUCAAGUAAAUUUUCAUACUGAGCUUUAAUCAAUAAAAUACUUCUUGCAAAUAAAAAUUAACUUUAA